ACGUGCCUCAUUCCGGGAAAUACCCAGCCGAAAGGUUGGCUAAUGUCCCAUGUCUCGCAAGAGAAAAGCUCCGGCGGAAUGAGAUCGGCCUUGCUCCUAUCAGCUUGUUGGUGAGGUAAUGGCUUACCAAGGCUUCGACGGGUAGCUGGUCUGAGAGGAUGAUCAGCCACAAUGGGACUGAGACACGGCCCAUACACCUACGGGUGGCAGCAGUUGGGAAUAUUGCGCAAUGGACGACAGUCUGACGCAGCGACGCCGCGUGAAGGAUGAAGGUUUUCGGAUCGUAAACUUCUUUUAUAUGGGAAGAUUGUGACUGUACCAUAUGAAUAAGGGCCUGCUAACUACGUGCCAGCAGCAGCGGUAAUACGUAGGGCCCGAGCGUUGUCCGGAUUUAUUGGGCGUAAAGAGUAUGUAGGUGGAAAAGUUAGU
rnacentral:rRNA from 1 species